rnacentral:rRNA from 1 species
AACGAACGCUGGCGGCAUGCCUAAUACAUGCAAGUCGAACGAACUCUUCGGAACUAGUGUCGUACGAGUGUGUAACGCGUGGGAAUCUGCACUUGGGUUCGGACUAACUUCUGGAAACGGAAGCCAAUACCGGACGAUGACGUAAGUCCAAUGAUUUAUCGACCAAGGAUGAACACGAGUAGGAUUAGCUAUUUGGUUGGGUAAAGGGCCACCAAGGCGACGAUCCUUAGCUGGUCUGAGAGGAUGAUCAGCCACACUGGGACUGAGAAGCGGCCCAGACUCCUACGGGAUGCGGGAGUAGGGAAUAGUGGACAACGGGCGGAAUCAUGAUGCAGCAAUGCCGCGUGAAUGAUGAAGGCCGUAAAGAUGAAAAGCGCUUGUACCUAUGAUGAUAAUGACGGUACCUAAAGAGUAAGCUCCGGCUAACUCCGUG